rnacentral:lncRNA from 1 species
AGCAGAACAGCCAGGCAGUGAGCACAGGGUGGACGACUCUACUGAGUGUGGAGUUAGCACAGGGUGGACGACUCUACUGAGUGUGGAGUUAGCACAGGGUGGACGACUCUACUGUGAGUGUGGAGUUAGCACAGGGUGGACGACUCUACUGUGAGUGUGGAGUUAGCACAGGGUGGAGGACUCUACUGAGUGUGGAGUGUGCACAGGGUGGAGGACUCUACUGUGAGUGUGGACUGUGCACAGGGAGAAGGACUGUACUGAGUGUGGGGUGCUUGCAAUGAUUUGUUAACAACAAUGUCUAACUUUCUGAGAUUCCCUGAGCCACUCUUUACUCUUCAUCCUCUCCCUUCCAACAAUGCUAUGAGCAUCCAAGAGGAACUUCUGCUUUAAGUACAGCUCCCAUUUCUGAGAGGACUCAUCACACCUAAUUUGAGUAAUUUCCUUUUCAAUUUCCUGGGCCAUUUUAUUUUACCUCUGGCUGCCCCUUGGAUGAGUGCAGUUUCCUUUGCUGUGAUAAAACACCAUCCCAAAAGCAACUAGGAGAGAAGGGUGUGUGUCAUCUUACAGCUUGUAAACCAUCAUCCAGGAAAGGCAGGGAAGGAACUCAAGGCAGGUACCUAGAGAAAGCACUUGAAGCAAUUAGAAGAUUGAAUCAUUACCACUGCUGGGUUGAUAAUCAUUUCUCAGGCUGUCUUUUGGCAAAGAGCAAGCUACAUUUUACAUUGCUUGAGUCACAAUGGUCAGUCUUCUCAAACGGAAGACUUCAAGGAAAAAGAAACUUGGAGUAAGAUGAAAGAAGAAAGAGGAAAGACAAGAAAUCAAGAACUCCAAAGGUCACAAGGCAGGAACAUAAGAAAAGAAAUAAAAUUUUUCUCUUUGUAUUAAAAUUUUUAAUAUUAUAAUGUAAUAAUUAUACUAUAAAUAUCAGGGAACAUC